rnacentral:tRNA from 1 species
GGCCAUGUAGUGGAAGUAAAACAUUAGACUGCAAUUCUGAAGAUGUAGGAAUUACCUUGGCUU